CAUUGCUGGCUCUACCAACGUGACGGGGACCAAGUUAAAAAGCUGGAUGUCCUCUCCAAUGACCUGGUGAUGAACAUGUUAAAGUCGUCCUUUGCCACCUGUGUUCUUGUGUCGGAAGAAGAUAAACAAGCCAUCAUAGUACAACAGGAGAAGAGGGGUAAAUACGUGGUCUGUUUUGAUCCCCUUGAUGGAUCUUCUAACAUCGAUUGCCUUGUGUCCAUUGGAACCAUUUUUGGCAUCUACAAAAAGCAUACGAAAAGCAGAACCGCCGUGGGACUGUUGCCUUUGUCACUGGGAUGCAUGUUGUUUUCAUCGUGAACGUUCUAAUUCUUGUACCACAAAGGCAAAGGCAGCAAUUCCUCGUAGUUUCCACCUCAUGCCAUGAAACAUGCUGUUCGUGCUGUAGACAUGCGGGUGUAAUUUCAUUUGCAAAGUAUGAAAUCUGUGGCAGCAAGCGAGGUUUGCAGCAAGACUCUUCCAUGGGGAGGACGACCUCUGGCUGACGACUGAACCAGGACCAAAGCCGCCCUGAUGUCCGCGGCCCCUCUCCACCCCAGCCCCCAGAUAAAACUCGCUGAGGAAAAAACCUAGAAAACUGGUAAAGAAAAUCAAACCAGCUUGAC